CAACCCUCAAGCACUGCUUGGUAUUGGAUGUCACCAUUGUGGUGUAUCUCAAAAGUAUUGGUAGUAGCAUUCAGCUUCCAGCGUAGUAAAUUUCUCGCUUUGGAGUUAAAUGUCUAAUUGCUUAGAACCAUUUAUCAAAAA
rnacentral:misc_RNA from 1 species